GUGGGGAAUAUUGGGCAAUGGGCGAAAGCCUGACCCAGCAACGCCGCGUGAAGGAAGAAGGUUUUCGGAUCGUAAACUUCUGUCCUAUAUGAAGAGCAGUAGACGGUAGUAUAGGAGGAAGCCCCGGCUAACUACGUGCCAGCAGCCGCGGUAAUACGUAGGGGGCGAGCGUUGUCCGGAAUGAUUGGGCGUAAAGGGCGCGUAGGCGGCCUGUUAAGUCUGGAGUGAAAGUCCUGUUUUCAAGAUGGGAAUUGCUUUGGAUACUGAUGGGCUUGAGUGCAGGAGAGGUUAUCGGAAUUCCCGGUGUAGCGGUGAAAUGCGUAGAGAUCGGGAGGAACACCAGUGGCGAAGGCGGGUAACUGGACUGCAACUGACGCUGAGGCGCGAAAGUGUGGGGAGCAAACAGGAUUAGAAACCCUAGUAGUCC
rnacentral:rRNA from 1 species